GACGAACGCUGGCGGCGUGCCUAAUACAUGCAAGUGGAGCGAUGAAGCUUGGUGCUCGCCCCAAUUUGCAGAGCAGCGCACGGGUGACUAACGGGUGGGGCAUCUGCCUUUGAGCGGGGGACAACAUUGGGAAACGAAUGCUAAUACCGCAUAACAACUUUAAACAUAAGUUUUAAGUUUGAAAGAUGCAAUUGCAUCACUCAAAGAUGAUCCCGCGUUGUAUUAGCUAGUUGGUGAGGUAAAGGCUCACCAAGGGGAGGUUACAUAGCCGACCGGAGAGGGGGGGCGGCCCCAUUGGGACUGAGACACGGCCCAAAGUCCUACGGGAGGCAGCAGUAGGGAAGCUUCGGCAAUGGACGCAAGUCUGACCGAGCAACGCCGCGUGGGUGGAGAAGGGUUUCGGAUCGUAAAACUCUGUUGGUAGAGAAGAACGGUGGUGGGAGUGGAAAGCGCAUCAAGUGACGGUAACUACCCAGAAAGGAACGGCUAACUACGUG
rnacentral:rRNA from 1 species